GUUUUAAUAAUUUAAAUAAAAUAUUGGUCUUGUAAAUCAAAUAUAAGAAAUUUCUUUUAAAACU
rnacentral:tRNA from 2 species